AGAGUGAACGCUGGCGGUAGGCCUAACACAUGCAAGUCGAACGGCAGCACAGUGGUAGCAAUACCAUGGGUGGCGAGUGGCGGACGGGUGAGGAAUACAUCGGAAUCUACCUUUUCGUGGGGGAUAACGUAGGGAAACUUACGCUAAUACCGCAUACGCCCUUCGGGGGAAAGCCGGGGAUCGCAAGACCUGGCGCGGAUAGAUGAGCCGAUGUCGGAUUAGCUAGUUGGUGAGGUAAUGGCUCACCAAGGCGACGAUCCGUAGCUGGUCUGAGAGGAUGAUCAGCCACACUAGGAACUGAGACGACGGUCCAGACUCCGUAACGGGAGCAGCGAGGUAGGGAAUAGUUGGAACAAGGUGGGCACGAAGCCUAGAUACCCAGACCCAAGUACCCGGACGGUGGGUA
rnacentral:rRNA from 1 species